rnacentral:rRNA from 1 species
UUGGUAUCUUAGUGGCGGACGAGUGAGUAACGCGUGGGUAACCUGCCUUACACUGGGGGAUAACACUUAGAAAUAGGUGCUAAUACCGCAUAACAGGGAAAGAUGCAUGUCUUUUCCUUAAAAACUCCGGUGGUGUAAGAUGGACCCGCGUCUGAUUAGCUUGUUGGCGGGGUAACGGCCCACCAAGGCGACGAUCAGUAGCCGGCCUGAGAGGGUGAACGGCCACAUUGGGACUGAGACACGGCCCAAACUCCUACGGAAGGCAGCAG